ACAGUCAUAUCAUGUUGAAACACCAGUUCUCAUCUGAUCACUGAAGUAAGCAACAUCGCGACUGGUCAGUACUUAGAGGAGUGACUGCUUGUGAGUACCAGGUACUGUAAG